CUCAUUAAAAGAGUGCGUAAUAGCUCACUGGUCGAGUGACCCUGCGCCGAAAAUUCAACGGGGCUAAACAAUGUACCGAAGCUUGGGAUUCUAGAUUUAUCUAGAGUGGUAGGAGAGCGUCGAAUAAGGGGUGAAGUCAGAGCGGAAGCGCUGGUGGACUUUAUUCGAGUGAGAAUGCCGGAAUGAGUAGCGAGAAUUAUGUGAGAAUCAUAAUGGCCGAAAAUCUAAGGUUUCCUGAGGAAGGUUCGUCCGCUCAGGGUAAGCCGGGGGCUAAGGCGAGGCGGAGACGCGUAGCCGAUGCACAUACGGUUGAAAUUCCGUAGCCACCGAAAGAUUUAAGUACAGGGACGCUUUAGAAGUGAUGUAGCCGGGCGAUGGUUGACCCGGUCGUAAGGGAUCGAAAAUGAGUAGAGAAGUCAUCAUGGAAAGAGACAAGAAAAGCUGUAUGAAUAUCUUAGGUGCCCGUACCGCAAACCGACACAGGUAGAUAGGAAGAAGAUUCUAAGGCCAACGGGAGAAGGGUUGUUAAGGAACUCGGCAAGUUGACCCCGUAACUUAGGGAUAAGGGGUGCUCAAGUGAUUGAGCCGCAGAGAAUAGGCCCAGGCGACUGUUUAGCAAAAACACAGGUCUCUGCUAAAUCGAAAGAUGACGUAUAGGGGCUGACACCUGCCCGGUGCCGGAAGGUUAAGAGGAGAUGUGAGAGCAUUGAAUUGAAGCCCCGGUAAACGGCGGCCGUAACUAUAACGGUCCUAAGGUAGCGAAAUUCCUUGUCAGGUAAGUUCUGACCCGCACGAAAGGUGUAACGAUCUGGGCACUGUCUCAACAACCCGCCCGGCGAAAUUGUAGUACCGGUGAAGAUGCCGGUUACCCGCGACUAGACGGAAAGACCCCAUGGAGCUUUACUGUAGCCUAAUAUUGGAUUUCGGUAUUUCACGUACAGGAUAGGUGGGAGACUGGGAAGCACAGGCGUCAGCUUGUGUGGAGUCGACCUUGGGAUACCACUCUUGGAGUGCUGGAAUUCUAACCUGCGGCUUUGAAGCAAGUCGGGGGACAUUGUUAGGUGGGCAGUUUGACUGGGGCGGUCGCCUCCUAAAGAGUAACGGAGGCGCUCAAAGGUUCGCUCUGCAUGGAUGGAAACCAUGCGUCAGAGUGUAAACGCAAAAGCGAGCCUAACUGCGAGAAUGACGGUUCGAGCAGUAACGAAAGUUGGAGUUAGUGAUCCGGCGGUAUGUGAAUGGAAAUGCC
rnacentral:rRNA from 1 species